GCACAAGCGGUGGAGCAUGUGGUUUAAUUCGAUGAUACGCGAGGAACCUUACCUGGGCUCAAAUGUAUGUUGACGUAUUCUGAAAGGGAUACUUCUUCGGACAAUAUACAAGGUGCUGCAUGGUUGUCGUCAGCUCGUGCCGUGAGGUGUCGGGUUAAGUCCCAUAACGAGCGCAACCCCUAUCAUUAGUUGCCAUCAGGUCAAGCUGGGGACUCUAAUGAAACUGCCUACGCAAGUAGUGAGGAAGGUGGGGAUGACGUCAAAUCAGUACGGCCCUUACGUCCAGGGCUACACACGUGCUACAAUGGCCGAUACAGAGGGCAGCUACCUGGUGACAGGAUGCAAAUCUCCAAAGUCGGUCUCAGUUCGGAUCGGAGUCUGCAACCCGACUCCGUGAAGUUGGAUUCGCUAGUAAUCGCAGAUCAGCCAAGCUGCGGUGAAUACGUUCCCGGGCCUU
rnacentral:rRNA from 1 species